UUUAAUGAGAGUUUGAUCCUGGCUCAGGACGAACGCUGGCGGCGUGCCUAAUACAUGCAAGUAGAACGCUGAGGUUUGGUGUUUACACUAGACUGAUGAGUUGCGAACGGGUGAGUAACGCGUAGGUAACCUGCCUCAUAGCGGGGGAUAACUAUUGGAAACGAUAGCUAAUACCGCAUAAGAGUAAUUAACACAUGUUAGUUAUUUAAAAG
rnacentral:rRNA from 2 species